UGCAAAUGCAAGAGCAAAACCCCUAUAUAUACACAACCAUGGGCACACAAGUUCCAUGCAUCUAGCAGUCACGGAAAUACUCCACAGCAAGACGUCAGUGUGUAUAUAUAAGUACCCAUAACAACAAACCCUUCCUCACCUACUCUUCUCAUCUCUGUCUCUCUCUGUCUCUGUCUCUCUCUCUUUCUCUCUCUCUCUCUCUCUCUCUCUCUCUCUCUCUCUCCUUUUUAGUUUUAUGAAUAGAUCUUGAGCUUUCUUCUCUUCCUCUUCUUCUUUUUGUUCUAUACACAAUUUGUGUCUGAUUGUUUCAUUCCUGCAACUUUUGCUUGUUCUUCUUCAAUUUUUUCAAUGCGGAAUGAUUCGUAUCUCAUCCACCGGAUUUCGAAUCGGGAGUGCUACAGUUUUUAUUGGUUUUUUAAGGUGAUGAUAUAUUAUUAAGUAUUUAACCCACAUGUAAUCUGGUCGAUCAGUCCUUUUAUUUUUCUCAGCCUGCAGUACUAUCAGCCUACUGACCCACAAGUACCCUCACACCCAGUGUCCAUGAAUAUUAUUACAGAAGGCAAAAGUUGUUGGCCUGUGUGUUGUUAGCUUUGUGCUGCUUUCUUUUUCAUGGCAUAAUUAAAAAUCCAAUUUUUUUCAAAAGGAUGUGUUUUUUUUUUUAUAAAAAAUUUCUCAGUCUUUGGUAAACGUAUAUUCUAUUAGGGUUCCCUCAGGUCAUUGGAUUCGGAGCUGCCCUUUUAUACAAAUCUUAGGACUAUUUGUUAGAUGCCAGUUGCCACCUCAGCCAGAUACGAACAUACACAAGAAACCUCAGUAUAUUAUUGUUCCUUUUCUUUUUCAAAUCAUCUUAAUUUUCUUUCUUUCCCUUGUUCUCUUUCUUCUCGAUCGCCCACAGAUGAGACUGUACAGAGUACAACAAAUUGAUUCAGUCAUUGUUUGCGGGUGCAGCAUCACCAAGAUUCACAACUGAUCAAGGGCACAGUGACAUCAUGAUGUUAUGAUUUUAUUAUGACUAUGUGUCUCCUAAGUUUGAGAAUCUUGAUGAUGCUGCAUCAGCAAUAGACGACUAUACCCCGGGAAAGCUGCGAAUAAUCGAUUUUUCGGCAUCUCCAGAUCAACAAGUUAGGUGAAUAUUAGACCUAAGAGAGCACCCAAGCAUGGCUAAAGCUGUAGAAAUUGAACUGGGGAAUAUUGUUUCAAACUUAUGAAGAAGAAUCUUAAGCCAUGUCAUGUGGGGGCAUUGGUGACAAGAGCUGUUAUGUCAAGUGAAAAGAAGGGAGAAGAAUAAUUCAAACAUCUGAAGGUCCACGAGUUUGUAGAGUGAGAGAGAUAGAAGAAAAUAAUAGUAAUGAGUAUGAUGAGGUCAGAGCUAGCAGAUCAACCCAACUGCAAAAACUGCUGGGAUGCGAAUGCAAAUAAUGCAUGUAUAAAAAAAAAAAAAUUAAAGUCUCUGGUUUCUUGAUUGAUAACUAUUCUUGUACAAUAAUAUGUGGCUAGAACCUUGUCGUACAAUUCAUCUCACUUUUUAUACAGUUAUUAGUUGAAUGUUCCAAUCAAUCUUGGCAUUGUACAGUUCUUGAUUUUGUUUCA